AUAAGACAAGGGUCAAACAGACAGACGGACGGUAUUGUUUCCCUGCUCUUCCCCCAAACUUCGGCCGUUAAAAGCGGACCGGAAUAAGGGGGUUUUGUGGAUUUCUUUUGUUCCCGUCUGGCUCUCGCGGAUCCCGGGGAUAAAGGCUUGUUUGGACAUUUUCGGUUUCUCUUGUGGUGUCUGCCUUUGUGACGAGGCUUCGCUCAUCUUUUUCAGCACUGAGAACUUGGAAGUGGAACAAAGCCAGACUGGGAAGGGGUGA
rnacentral:lncRNA from 1 species